GACGUCCAUAUUCGGUUAAAACAGCGGUUCCCGUAAGAUCACCGAAGUUAGACAACGUCUAGCCUAGAGAAGUACCUAGACGGGUGACCGCUUGGGAAUAUCAAGUGCUGUAA